rnacentral:lncRNA from 10 species
GUGGGACCCUCCGAGCCAGAAGUGACUCUCCAGGGGAGCUAAAAUCCAUGUAUUUGGGCACACACUUGAACAAUAUUGCUAGAGAAAUUUAAGCAAGAGCACAAAGGUUAAUGACAUCUCUUGUGGGGACCACUGUGAGAAUAAAACAAGGCACUACGUUGUCUGGGAUGAUGGAAGGAGCUAAAGUCUUCAGUGAAUGAAGGAGCAGGACCAGGAGCUCAAAAUACUUCUUUGAAGACAAAGAAGAAAUGAUAUUACCAAAUGGUUGGCUCAAAAGAACAGGGAUUUUGCAACAGAGAGAGUAUGUCAUGGUCUUGAACAAGCAAUGAAAGAAUCAUCUGAAAGGAAUGUGGAGAUCAGAGAAAAAUGAUGGGAAAGUUACCACAGCCUGCAAAUGAGAAAUGAUGAGAGCCUGCCUGGGUUUUGCCAGGACGAUUAAAUAUCAUUGAUGCUUCUGGUCUACAAUUAGUCAGAGAAGAGAUUAAAAAAAUGAUGAGUAUUCAAGAAGGAAAGUGUUUGCUUUAACAUAUGAAGAAAAGGAGCUUCAGAGUGGUGAUUAACCCCAGAAUUGUGUGGAACGGAUAUGGAAACAAGACCACAGGAGCAUCGAGAACUGAGCAGAACUGAAGGUGACAUGAAAAUCAGCUGCAAGAUUCACCUCAGGGUGAUAAUGGGCUGCAGGUGGCUGCAGGAAUCCCGGGACAUUCUAGGCACUGCCAUAUUUUCUUAGGGGCCAGUAAGGAUGGCUAUCAUCAGAUGUACCUGAUGAUACAAACAUGGGCUGUCUUGCCUUCUAGUAUUCAUUCUUGAUGAUUGCAUCCAGAGCUCACUUUGGAGGUGCAGAUCAACUCUUCUUCAGGCUCAUCCAUGCGACUUGAGUGGGCUCUCAUCCCCAUUCCCAGGGGCUUAUGACAAUCAAGGUUUCCACUCCUCCAUGGUCUCAAUGGUUUUUCUCCCCAUGGGAAGCACAUAAUCCCAUUAGAGGCCACGGGAAGCUUUUUUGUUGGGCUUUGAGGGAAAAAAGGCUUUUGCAGCCAAUGAAUCGAUCAAUGUGUACUUCAACCUGGAUUGUAUGUAUGCAUCUCCUAGAUUGGGCGGAUGAUGAAGUGAGGCUGGAAGUGCUGAGCAUCUUCCUACCUGGGAUGACUGGGCUGAGCAGGAAGCCUACCCCGGGGUUCCAGCCAAGUUGGAGCCUGUGAGUGUGUGGUGUAGUUUAACGCCCUGAUUAAAUCACUAGGAAGCCAUUUCUCUCUCUCCUCCCAGACCAGAUCAGACAAUAUGUUCCCUUAUUUCUACUAAAGCCCCAAUUGGAUUUUGUGUCUUUUGAUACUGAAAGAAUCUUACCACAAAUAAAAUAAUUUGUCAUGUGGCUCCUACAUAUUUAUUCAGUUACAUAAACUAACUAAAUAAAUGAAUAAACUGUCAAUAAUGGUAGUUCCUCAUCUAUGAAUGACUCUUUACAAAGCCUAUCUCGCUUAAUAGUCAUAAUAAAUACUGAAGUAGAUACUAUUUAUACCUUUUUUUUAAAAGGAAUUAAAUAUUUUCAGGGUUAUACAAAGCAUGAGUAUUGUGGGUACAAAUUCAAGCUUUCUAACUCAAAUUUGAAGACUUAUCCCCAGGAUACUUUUACAUCUUUAGCUAGUACCAUGUAUACCUCAAAAGCUUACAUUAUUUUUCACAUGUGUUAGGUUUUGAGGGAUAAUCAAUAAGGAGGGCAUACUUUCAGGCUUCUUAUUUAUAACUGUGAAAUUUAGAAAUUGAUGGAGUAGCAGAUUUCUCGGUAGGAGACAGCUGUUUUAAAAUGCCCCAUGUUUUUAUUAAAGUAAAAAUCUCAAAAAUUGUCUUUUAAAAAGUGGCUCUGGCCAAUCUUAGAUAAAACAUCAUUUACUAGACUUAGGAAUUUCCUGUAGUAAAUUUCAGAUUUACUUUUCGGUCUCACAUCAUCAAAGAGAUCAUAACCCUUUGUGCAAUUAUGGUCUUGAACCAAGGCCUAUUCUCUAGGUCACUGCUGUCAGGACUUCAAGAUAAUUGUUUCCAUUGCAGGAUUUGAUUUUUAAUUCCCCGGAUGUUCUUGACGUGGUUCAGUUCUUCAGGAAAUCAUCACCCUCAUGAGCCCUCCCUGCCACUUGCAGAUAGGGCUUUCUCCCGGUAAGUUCUGGAGUCACGGCAGAGCUCAAUAAGUCUGAUUGGGACCUCCUAUGAUUAU